rnacentral:rRNA from 1 species
AUUGAACGCUGGCGGCAGGCCUAACACAUGCAAGUCGAACGAGUGGCGGACGGGUGAGUAAUGUCUGGGCAACUGCCUGAUGGAGGGGGAUAACUACUGGAAACGGUAGCUAAUACCGCAUACCAUCGGAUGUGCCCAGAUGGGAUUAGCUAGUAGGUGGGGUAACGGCUCACCUAGGCGACGAUCCCUAGCUGGUCUGAGAGGAUGACCAGCCACACUGGGACUGAGACACGGUCCAGACUCCUACGGGAGGCAGCAGUGGGGAAUAUUGCACAAUGGGCGCAAGCCUGAUGCAGCCAUGCCGCGUGUAUGAAGAAGGCCUUAGGGUUGUAAAGUACUUUCAGCGGGGAGGCGUUACCCGCAGAAGAAGCACCGGCUAACUCCGUGCCAGCAGCCGCGGUAAUUC